CAGUAGCCACGGUAAUACGAAGGGGGCUAGCGUUGUUCGGAUUUACUGGGCGUAAAGCGCACGUAGGCGGACUUUUAAGUCAGGGGUGAAAUCCCGGAGCUCAACCCCGGAACUGCCUUUGAUACUGGAAGUCUUGAGUAUGGUAGAGGUGAGUGGAAUUCCGAGUGUAGAGGUGAAAUUCGUAGAUAUUCGGAGGAACACCAGUGGCGAAGGCGGCUCACUGGACCAUUACUGACGCUGAGGUGCGAAAGCGUGGGGAGCAAACAGGAUUAGAUACCCCCGUAGUCCCUGUCUCUUAUAC
rnacentral:rRNA from 1 species